rnacentral:rRNA from 1 species
AUUGAACGCUGGCGGCGUGCUUAACACAUGCAAGUCGAACGGUAACACGGGUGCCACCCUGUGCUGACGUGCGGCAAAGGUGUGAACUGUGUUUCAAAAUCUCCCCUAUGAUGGGAAAUCACCUCUCAAAAUAUUGUCUUACCCCACACACACCAUUCUGGAGAAAGCGGGACAUCACAGGACCUCGCUUUUAUAGCUGACCAUAUCCCAUAUUAUCUUUUUUGGGGGGAAGCCCUCCCCCAGCGACACUAUCCAUCUCUGGUCAGAGAAGACUACCCCCCACUCUGACACAGACACACCCCCCACACUCCUACGGGGGGCCACUGGGGAAAAUUUUGCACUGUGGGGGCAACUCUUCUCCCCCUGCCCCGCGAGUGAAAAAAGCGUUUGGGUUUUGUAAAUCUUUUUUCCUGGGCAUAAACAUCAGGGCUAAUACCCUGGUGUGAUGACACCUCCCGAAGAAAAAAACACCGGCUAAACUCUGCCCAGCAGCGCGCGUAAUAUACAGAGGUGUGCGAGUUAAUAUCGAAAUUACUGGCGUAAAGCGUGCGCAGACGGUUACUUCAAGUCGAGAUGUUGAAAGUCCCCGGAGCUUUAACCUGGGAAUUGCAGUUUGAGAACUGAAGUAGCCUAGAGUGCGGUAGAGGGAGAGCGGAAUUUCCAGGGUGUAGCGAGUGAAAUGCCGUAGAUAUCGUGAAGGAACAUCCAGAUGGCGAAAGGCGGCUCUCCUGGACCAGCACUGACGUUCAUGCACGAAAGCGUGGGGAGCAAACAGGAUUAGAUACCCUGGUAGUCCACGCCAUAAACUAUGUGGACUAGACGUUGGAGGAGUAAGCCCUUCAGUAUCGUAGCUAACGCGUGAAGUCCUCCGCCUGGGGAGUACGGUCGCAAGAUUGAAACUCAAAGGAAUUGACGGGGACCCGCACAAGCGGUGGAGCAUGUGGUUUAAUUCGAUGCAACGCGAAGAACCUUACCUACCCUUGACAUCCCAGGAACCUCGCAGAGAUGUGAGGGUGCCGUAAAGAACACUGAGACACAGGUGCCACAUGGGUCGUCUCAUCUCGUGUUGAGAGAUUGGGUUAAGUCUCCCACAAAGAGCACCCCCUGUCCCUAGUGUUCAUCCUUUCAUUUGGGCCUUUAAGGAGACCGCCGGGGGACAACCGGAGGGAAGGGGGGGAGAAGGCAAAUUCUUAUGGCCCUUUAUGCCAAGGGUUCCCCCGGUAUUCCAAUGGAGGUUCAGAAGGAAGCCAACCGGGGGAGGGGGACCCAUUCCCAAAAACUGAUUGUUAUUCGGAAUUGUUUUUGCAAAUUGAAUCCCAGAAGUUGGAAAUCCUUGGAAUUCCAGAUCAACCAUGUCGCGGUGAAUACGUUCCCGGGUCUUGUACACACCG